rnacentral:sRNA from 1 species
UCGUUUCGUAAAGCCUCCACCGUCGAGGU